AUUUGAGUGAGUGGCGGACGGGUGAGUAACACGUGGGUAACCUGCCCUAAAGUGGGGGAUAACAUUUGGAAACAGAUGCUAAUACCGCAUAAAACCUAACACCGCAUGGUGUAGGGUUGAAAGAUGGUUUCGGCUAUCACUUUAGGAUGGACCCGCGGUGCAUUAGUUAGUUGGUGAGGUAAAGGCUCACCAAGACCGUGAUGCAUAGCCGACCUGAGAGGGUAAUCGGCCACACUGGGACUGAGACACGGCCCAGACUCCUACGGGAGGCAGCAGUAGGGAAUCUUCCACAAUGGACGAAAGUCUGAUGGAGCAACGCCGCGUGAGUGAAGAAGGUUUUCGGAUCGUAAAACUCUGUUGUUGGAGAAGAAUGUAUCUGAUAGUAACUGAUCAGGUAGUGACGGUAUCCAACCAGAAAGCCACGGCUAACUACGUGCCAGCAGCCGCGGUAAUACGUAGGUGGCAAGCGUUGUCCGGAUUUAUUGGGCGUAAAGCGAGCGCAGGCGGUUUCUUAAGUCUGAUGUGAAAGCCUUCGGCUCAACCGAAGAAGUGCAUCGGAAACUGGGAAACUUGAGUGCAGAAGAGGACAGUGGAACUCCAUGUGUAGCGGUGAAAUGCGUAGAUAUAUGGAAGAACACCAGUGGCGAAGGCGGCUGUCUGGUCUGUAACUGACGCUGAGGCUCGAAAGCAUGGGUAGCAAACAGGAUUAGAUACCCUGGUAGUCCAUGCCGUAAACGAUGAGUGCUAGGUGUUGGAGGGUUUCCGCCCUUCAGUGCCGCAGCUAACGCAUUAAGCACUCCGCCUGGAGAGUACGACCGCAAGGUUGAAACUCAGAGGAAUUGACGGGCGCCCGCACAAGCGGUGGAGCAUGUGGUUUAAUUCGAAGCAACGCGAAGAACCUUACCAGGUCUUGACAUCCUUUGACCACUCUAGAGAUAGAGCUUUCCCUUCGGGGACAAAGUGACAGGUGGUGCAUGGUUGUCGUCAGCUCGUGUCGUGAGAUGUUGGGUUAAGUCCCGCAACGAGCGCACCCUUAUUACUAGUUGCCAGCAUUUAGUUGGGCACUCUAGUGAGACUGC
rnacentral:rRNA from 1 species